rnacentral:rRNA from 1 species
GUAGGUGGCAAGCGUUGUCCGGAUUUAUUGGGCGUAAAGCGAGCGCAGGCGGAAGAAUAAGUCUGAUGUGAAAGCCCUCGGCUUAACCGAGGAACUGCAUCGGAAACUGUUUUUCUUGAGUGCAGAAGAGGAGAGUGGAACUCCAUGUGUAGCGGUGGAAUGCGUAGAUAUAUGGAAGAACACCAGUGGCGAAGGCGGCUCUCUGGUCUGCAACUGACGCUGAGGCUCAAAAGCAUGGGUAGCGAACAGGAUUAGAUACCCUGGUAGUCCAUGCCGUAAACGAUGAGUGCUAAGUGUUGGGAGGUUUCCGCCUCUCAGUGCUGCAGCUAACGCAUUAAGCACUCCGCCUGGGGAGUACGACCGCAAGGUUG